AAAAAUUAAAACCUGAAAUUAACAACCGCAUGCCAAGAUCCAGCAGAUAAUGUUCUACGUCACAACGAAUCCAUUAAAAGUUAGUACCAAUUUCGAUCCUCCAGUUCAUAAGAAAAAAGGAAAAGCUAUAAGCACAAAUGGCUGAACACUCUCUUUUAAUAACUAAUAUCUGUUUUAUACAUAGACACUAACAAAUGAAUAUAAUAGCUCUAUCUCAAUUUUUUAAUCCAGCGAGUUGGUGAAUUAGCUGAAACGAACAAAAAAAAAAACAAUUUCAAUUAAGAGUAGAGAUUCCUCCUCAAAAUAUCACAAAAAAUAAGAAUUCACAUAAAUCUUCACAUUGAACCAUGAUAUAAGAAAUACACGAAAUGAAACAGAGAACGAAGAAUAGGAACCUUGCAACCUCGAUGAACUCAGAACGACAAACGACGACCCCAAAAUAUUGUUAUGCUGUUCUCGACUCCAAAUCACAAUAGAAACUCGCCGAAAAAUUCAAACUAAACCAAAAAACGGACCUAACGAACUCCCUGACAGUAGCUCAUGAUUUUGGAGUUGUUUCGGGCUAAUUCAUGUUGCUUUGAUGGAGGUUUUAAUGUGAUUUUGUGAAGGAAAUUCUACAACUCCAUGAGCUUUAGUUAUAGGGGUUUCAUGGUGGUUUUGACGCUAGAUUUAUGGAUGAUUCAUGGCUGAUUUGGGGCUGGAUUCGGGGUGGAGAUAAGGCUCUUGAUGGGUGUGUUGAGAGGUGAGGAACGACUCUGUGUGAGUGGGCAUAAAUCCGAUGCCAAUGGUUGCUGCAGGUUUGGGAAUGGAGAAGCAAAAGUNNN
rnacentral:lncRNA from 1 species